GCUCAUGUAACUCAGUUGGUUAGAGUGUCACCCUCACAUGGUGGAAGUCGGGGGUUCGAGUCCCUCCAUGAGCA
rnacentral:tRNA from 1 species